UCUGGCGGCUUUAGCGCGGUGGUCCCACCUGACCCCAUGCCGAACUCAGAAGUGAAACGCCGUAGCGCC
rnacentral:rRNA from 1 species